CAAUAGCGUAUAUUAAAGUUGUUGCGGUUAAAAAGCUCGUAGUUGGAUUUCUGCCGAGGACGACCGGUCCGCCCUCUGGGUGUGUAUCUGGUUUGGCCUGGGCAUCUUCUUGGAGAACGUAGCUGCACUUGACUGUGUGGUGCGGUGUCCAGGACUUUUACUUUGAGGAAAUUAGAGUGUUUCAAGCAGGCACACGCCUUGAAUACAUUAGCAUGGAAUAAUAAGAUAGGACCUCGGUUCUAUUUUGUUGGUUUCUAGAGCUGAGGUAAUGAUUAAUAGGGAUAGUUGGGGGCAUUCGUAUUUAACUGUCAGAGGUGAAAUCCUUGGAUUUGUUAAAGACGGACUACUGCGAAAGCAUUUGCCAAGGAUGUUUUCAUUGA
rnacentral:rRNA from 1 species